CUCGUAGGCGGCUUGUUGCGUCGACUGUGAAAACCUGCGGCUCAACCGUGUGGUCUGCAGUCGAUACGGGCAGGCUGGAGUUCGGUAGGGGAGACUGGAAUUCCUGGUGUAGCGGUGAAAUGCGCAGAUAUCAGGAGGAACACCGGUGGCGAAGGCGGGUCUCUGGGCCGAUACUGACGCUGAGGAGAGAAAGCGGUGGGGAGACGAACGA
rnacentral:rRNA from 1 species